CACGCAAUUGUCUUAUGCUUUUUCCAGUACCCAAUAUUCGAAUGUUAGUGUAUUGUUCCUCGUAUUGGUCGUUUCGCAAUUGUUUCUGCCCACAUAAGAGCAUACAGCACUUACUUGCAUACAAACAUGCGUUAUAUCGCUGAGCAGUAAAUUGCUCUUUGAAUAUGCGUUCAUGUUUCUUUGGCACAGCUCGCUCUCACCAAAAGCUUUUGUGGUUCAUAUGAUUCGACAGAACGAUGAGUUGGGGGCAUACGGAAGAGGUAUGUGCUUGCAAUUCCUCGACAAACUUAUCUACACAAGCAUAACUAUUGGUUAUAUGUAUGUACAUACAGAUGUGUGUAAAUUUCCAUAAAUAUCAAUAUGUGCAUUUUAUUAUGGAAUAAGACUACACGAGUGUAUAUAUGUAUGUAUGUUACAUAUAUUUAUAUGCAUAAAAGUAUGUAGGUCUUUGAGUAGUGUUGUACAUUUUAUUUGGAGCAUUGAGAGCGAGAGUGUGCCACCAGACCAAAGUGUUGGCAAAAUGUAUUACGAUUGGUUGGGCGGUGGGGAGCGCAUAUCAUCAAAAGCCGAACUAGUGGAAUAGUAUACGAAUGUUAUGUGUGCCAUCGUACGUGCAUACAUAUCCAUUUAAAUAUAUAUAUAUGUAUAUUUCAAUCAAUUGCAAUAUGAAUGCUGCCAAAAAUUGCAUUGCAUCUUUGCAGCGCUGCGACAGUGUAGUUAGCAUUGAGGCUCAAAAAAUUGGCAGCGCUGUUGGCGCACCUGAAUGAGAUGGCCAACAGUUGUGUAGUAGAGUUAAUUUAGUGAGAGCGCAAAAGUAAUAUGCAUGCGCUAGUUUACUAGUUGAUGACGACGAUUAUUGCGACACUGACGAUGACGAUGAUGACGACGACGACGACGACGACGUUGGCGAUGGCAGCGCCGUUGACAACAUACGUACAGAGGUACGAACAGCGACGCUUGCUAUUUAGUAGCUACAAUCAUAUUGCUUUACGUACGGAGUACUGCGUGAAUCCUAGCGUUUGCUUGGGUUUAGUCAAUCGAGAUUCGCGGUUGAUGUUGGUCGUGUUUUCGGCAAAAAUUUCUUCUACUGAACAACAAACAUAACAAAAUAACAAAGAGUACAGAUAUAAAUACUAAAUAUUGUAUAAAGAGUUCACCAUAUAGAAAAAAUAUUAAUACAAAGCAACAACAAUAAAAUAUAGUGUCAGCGUUUCUUACCUGCCUCAAGAUUCAAUUCAAAUACAAACUUUAAAAAUUUUCAACGCCAAGUAAAGCCAUAACUUACAAUAUCUUUCAGAACAAUCUAUGAAUAAAAAAAAAAACAAAAUUCAAAAUAAAUAAGCAACCGAAAGAAACCAAAGGCUUGCAAAAUGAUACUCUCGGUAGCGAACAACUAACUAAUAAAAAUUAACUCAAAAUAAAUAGCACCAAACCACAGCACACAGCGGAAGCAGUUAAGUCCGUGGCACGGCAAGCAGCAACACAGCAAGAAAGAUUGAAACCACAACAACAGCAACUAUAAUAAAAUUCAAAAAAAAAAAAAAAGUAAUAUGAAAAAUAAAUAAAAACAAGCAGUAACUAAUGAAACCAACAACUAAAUAACAAGAACGCGAACAAAAUCGUCUACUAAGAAA
rnacentral:lncRNA from 1 species